CACUGACAGCGAGCUCCGUGUGUGGUGGCCCCUACCCUUGCUGACGCCUGUGCAGUCCUCCUGGGUACCCCUGCAGUGGAUUCGCAAGUUCUACAGGAAUAAACCUCUGGGUAUUGGGCAAUAAUGAUUGGCUACAAGCAAGACUGGUGACAAUUGCACGACCAGAAACAUGGACUUGUUGGGAAACUGCUGUUUAGAGAGUCUUCGCUUCCUCGCUGCAGUGAAAUCAUAUGAGACUGUGACCUCUUCCUAGGUAUCAACUAGACCAGACCUGAUCUCUUAUGUAAUGAAACCAUUAGCAUAGUAUAUCAGUUGAACGGUACCCUUAAUAAAGACAUCGAAAUGCAUUUCUUAUUUCAUUUUCUACAAUGCCUUUUUGAGAUUGUUUUUUUAUAAUUCUGGGAAAACAAGGCAACAUGAAAACAAAAAAAAAAAAAUAGGAGAGAUUUGAAGAGCUCAAAUGGAAGCACUCUUUCAAGAAUUUUGAAAUAUUUAAUUAAUUAUAGAGCUGGAUUCUGGUGGCUGCCUGGUUAGAACUGAGGAGGCGAAUAUGCCAAUUUCAAAAUUAAACAUCAGGGAAAAAAAGAACCACAAUAUGCAAAUUUAGCUUAAGCUACAUAUGACCCAGUUCAGAUUGACUGGACUAUCCCCUUCAGUAAUUGCAUGCAUAAUUGUACCACAUUAAGUUUCCUAUGUAUGUAUCUAAUUUAUAAUGCAUAUGUGUUUUUUUUUUCAAAGUUUUGGCAGGGCAACUACAUUAAGCAAAGCUGUGGUCCAGGCUGGAAACUCACUUUUUAAAUCAAGCUUAUUAAGUGUCAAUAGCCAGUCAAUCGUUAACUGAAAAAGCAGAACCUCACCGCUAACAAUGUAAUUAAUUGUCAAGUGAUUGCCAGGGAAGGGAUUUAAAUCUUUCCUGAUACAUUACCUCCCAGCUGUGAGUCAGAGUCUGCCUCCUCCUCCCCAGCCUCCACCUGAUUUUUGAACUCUUCAAAGGGGGAGGGCAGCCAUCCUGCCCCCUGCCCAUGACUUCCCUGCAGUCAGCCUCUCCAUUUAUCAGUGGCAAAAUGUAUGGGAAAGGGUUCAUUGAGGCGAGGCCAGAGAUGUAUUAUAUGUCUAAAUGUGUUAUCCAUGAAUGUGUAAUAUGCAAAAAUGUGUUAUUGUGUCUAAUCUGUAAUAAAUAUUCUAUCACAUGAGUUCCCUGACUGAAAUAGAGUUCACCCAAACUGUUUUCAUUUAAAAAAAAAAAAAAAGGAAUUCUCUGUACAUCUUUUAAACUGUUGACUGUCAUUUUUAUCAAAAAAAAAAAAAAAAAAAGAAAAUUCCAGGCACUAAAAAUGUCCCAUUUUGAAAUUCCCACACUGGAAGCCAGGGAAUCAUUCAUCGGAGACCAAAAAAACACAACAAACUAAAUUGCCAUCAAAUUGCCUUCCAUAUAUUAUAAAAAAGAAAAAAAAAAAACAGAAAUGGGGCUAAAGUGAAUUACUUUAGGUUCUAAAUGCAUCUCUGGGUUCUAUUGAAUUCAUCAUAAUCCACCCAAUGCAACUGUAACCUUGUAAUUCACUGCAGCACAUCUAUUAUUCUAAAUGUUUGAUGAAUAUAUAUAUUUUUUUAAAUGGAGUCAGGUGAUUAAGUUAAGCAAUGAAUAUAAAUAUAAAUAUCAAAUACAGGUAGGCAGUAUCAAAAGUGUGAUACCUGGUGUAAAGUUAUACUGUUGGGUUUAACUCAGGUAUAUUGAAAAAGCACAUGCAAAACUUUAAUACCAUGUAUAAAAGAAUAAGAACUAACUAAAAUAGAUACAUGCGAACAAAAUGUAGAAAUAUGUAAAAAGUGUUGUUGGGGAGGGGGGAAUAUGUUUUGGCUCCAGUAAAAACUCAACUGUAUAAAUAGGUACCAAAAUUUGAACUCCAUUCAACUGUUUGACACAAUGUAACAAGAUUCAUUGUUAACUCCCAAAAUUGUAAAUGUUAGAAAAACCCUAAAGAAAAAGGUACAUUGUAUCUAUGAUGAAUCUUGUAACGUUGGGUCAAACUGCUGAAAUUUGCUUCUAGCACUGUUUGAUCAGUAAAGGUAUUUAAAGUUUGUUUGGUAGGAUUUCAAUAGUAUUCUGCUAUGCUCACUUAGUUUUAUUACAUGCAUCAUUUUCAUCCCAAAUGGAACUUCAGAAGCGAGUGUUCCAGGCAGUUCUAUUUAUUGUAAGCUAUGUGAAAUAAAGGCUGGUUCGGGGCAGUUUUUUGUCAGCAUGUUAUGUGGAUCAAGAAGACUCCUGCAAGACUUGGGCUGUCUUGGGCUACAGAGGUGAUUAUCUUUGUGUGUUGAAUUUUAGAAUUAUUGGGCUACUGAGAUACUGUGUGCUUUUGGUAAUUUUUUUUUUUUUUUUUUUUACCCUUUACUGCCAGCUGUUCAGUAUAAAUUCUAAAGUAUGUGCUAUUUACAACUAUAGAUAUGUUUGCUGUUGCGCUCCAGUUCAUGUUUGCAUUACACUAGGAACAGUAUUGCGAUACAGAAUAAACAGCAGCUGGUUUAAUGUACUGGAAUGGACUUCAUUUCAGGGUUUGUAAGCAUUUGCUGUCUAAGUUCCAAUUUCCUACUGAAUGAUUUAUCAUUGUGAGCUGUGCAUGUUCAUUAAAUUCAUUCAAUAUUUCAUUGAUAGAAAGCCUUAUUUUUUUAAAUGAUUGGCUUUAAAGUAAUCAUAAAAAGCGUUUGGGGGUUAAUGUUAAUUAUCUAACCCCUUAAGGUACACAAGGAAUUGAACAGUUGUUCAAAAGGUUUCUUCCUAAAUUACAUUUGAGAGCAAGUAUCACAAAGAAACUGGCAAUUUGGAUGACCAGCUCCAACCUGGCAGUACAUUUUAAAUCCUGUUUUGUGCUCCUCAUUACAACAAUAAUUGUAAUUUUAUUUCUGGGACACUUCUCUUGUACCAUAAAGGGCUAAACAGUAAUUUUAAAAAUGGCAAACAAAAAUCAUGGACCUUUUUAUUUUUUUAUUUUACUGUAUUUAUAUUAUGUGUUGUAUUGUUUGACAAUAAAUCACCAU